GGAACUCUGAGACAGGUGCUGCAUGGCUGUCGUCAGCUCGUGUUGUGAAAUGUUGGGUUAAGUCCCGCAACGAGCGCAACCCUUAUCCUUGUUUGCCAGCGAGUAAUGUCGGGAACUCCAGGGAGACUGCCGGUGAUAAACCGGAGGAAGGUGGGGACGACGUCAAGUCAUCAUGGCCCUUACGAGUAGGGCUACACACGUGCUACAAUGGCGCAUACAGAGGGCGGCCAACUUGCGAAAGUGAGCGAAUCCCAAAAAGUGCGUCGUAGUCCGGAUUGGAGUCUGCAACUCGACUCCAUGAAGUCGGAAUCGCUAGUAAUCGUGGAUCAGAAUGCCACGGUGAAUACGUUCCCGGGCCUUGUACACACCGCCCGUCACACCAUGGGAGUGGGCUGCAAAAGAAGUGGGUAGUUUAACCUUCGGGAGGACGCUCACCACUUUGUGGUUCAUGACUGGGGUGAAGUCGUAACAAGGUAGCGCUAGGGGAACCUGGCGCUGGAUCACCUCCUUA
rnacentral:rRNA from 1 species